rnacentral:rRNA from 1 species
UACGUAGGGUGCAAGCGUUGUCCGGAAUUAUUGGGCGUAAAGGGCGCGUAGGCGGCUCGGCACGUCCGUUGUGAAAUCGCCCGGCUCAACUGGGCGGGGUCAGCGGAUACGGUCGAGCUUGAGCAAGCUAGGGGGUAAUGGAAUUCCCGGUGUAGUGGUGGAAUGCGUAGAUAUCGGGAGGAACACCAGUGGCGAAGGCGGUUACCUGGGGCUUUGCUGACGCUGAUGCGCGAAAGCGUGGGGAGCGAUCCGG